rnacentral:rRNA from 1 species
AUGGAUGGUGGCAGCGGCCUGAAUAUAUUGUAUGCAGAAACAUUGAAAGGGAUGGGCAUUCCGAUGUCCAGACUCAGUACCAGCAACAUGAGUUUCCAUGGAGUCAUUCCUGGGAAGAAGGCUGAGUCACUCGGCCAAAUUGCUCUUGAUGUGGUUUUCGGUGAUUCCAAGAAUUACCGCAAAGAAAAGUUGACGUUUGAAGUGGUGGAUUUCCAGAGUGCUUAUCACGAUAUUUUGCGCAGGCCAGCUUAUGCACUUUUCAUGGCUCGACCAUGCUAUGUGUACCUCAAAAUGAAGAUGUCUGGUCCCAAAGGUGUGAUCACUAUUACUGGCAAUCGGAAGAAGGCGGAAGAGUGCUUUCAGAAGGGCUCAAAGAUCGCCGAUGCUCAGAUGGCAGUGGUAGAGCUGCAGGAAUACCAGACAACUGUAGAUCCGAGUGAUUUGUUGCGAGCCAAGAAGCCCGCUACAAAGUCAGUGUUUCAGUCAUCCGGUGAGCAUUCACCCGACCGACCCCAGUGCUGCUCCGACUCAUAUCUCUACAACACUCGACUCCAAAUAGGACGAAGCGCUCAUCCAGUUCCUCCAUGA